ACGCUCGACACCUACGGGAGCAGCAGUGGGGAAUAUUGCACAAUGGGGGAAACCCUGAUGCAGCGACGCCGCGUGAGUGAAGAAGUAUUUCGGUAUGUAAAGCUCUAUCAGCAGGGAAGAAGAUGACGGUACCUGAGUAAGAAGCCCCGGCUAACUACGUGCCCGCAGCCGCGGUAAUCUGAGCGGGCUGGCAAGGC
rnacentral:rRNA from 1 species